UACGGAGGAUGCAAGCGUUAUCCGGAAUGAUUGGGCGUAAAGCGUCCGCAGGUGGCAAUGUAAGUCUGCUGUCAAAGCGUCUGGCUCAACCAGAUACAGGCAGUGGAAACUACAUAGCUAGAGUAAGGUAGGGGUAGAGGGAAUUCCUGGUGUAGCGGUGAAAUGCGUAGAGAUCAGGAAGAACACCGGUGGCGAAAGCGCUCUGCUAGGCCGUAACUGACACUGAGGGACGAAAGCUAGGGGAGCGAAUGGG
rnacentral:rRNA from 1 species